rnacentral:lncRNA from 1 species
CGAGGUGUUGCCACCUCAAUCUCUGUCAUUUGGUCCGAUCAAAAGGCCCUCACUAUAUCAGGGCUCACAAAAUAAUUAUGAGUCAACUAUAUAAAUCUCUUGGAUCUAAAUUGCCUAUCAAAAUUUGCAGAGAAGAGAAGGAAUAGUUAUUUCAUCAGGAAAGUUUCCAACUGUCCUCAAAGGCUUCCAAUAAUCCAUCAUGCUACUGGUAUCAAUCUUCCCUAGCAAUAGAGUAUUGGAAGACUUGUGGACCGUUGAAGACACAUUUCUUUCAUCGAGGUAAAUCGGGUCGAGCCAUCUAUCUAGAUUACAAAAGGUACGUAAAAAGACGAAAUCGAAUGUAUAGCAACAAUAACUACUAUAAAUAAGAUUUUUACUUCAUUUGUGUACCGUAAAGAUAAUUAUUUUCUUGAUGUAUCAAAAUCAAGAGGUUAUGCAAUUUUCUUCUAAUUUCCCCUGUUGAUUUAUGUUAAAAUUACUUCAAAUUAUAGGGUUUUGAUCGUUUUCAUCGAUCUAGAUAAAAUUUAUAAUGUUUUCUAUCCUCUACUGGGUGCGGCAAAUUAAUUAAUUGUAAGUCAAGGGCUCAAAUUAGGGUUUACAAAUGAUUUUCAGGCUGAGCGCAGAUUGAAAAAAUCUGGUGUAAUUAAUAUGUGAUACGUGGAUUUUUCUUCUCUUCUCUCCUCUUCUCUCUCUCUGAAAAUUUUGAUACGUAAAUUGGACAUUUAAAGAUUAGGAUUUAAAGAAACUGAGAUUUUUCGAAUUAUGUUCUCUUCCCUCAUAAAUCAGGUCGAAUCCGAUAAAAAGUUACAUAAAGAGAACUCUGAAAAAUAAAUAAAUUGUACUCUACCAAGUCAAUUUAUGAUAAUUUCUUUUAAACUUCGAAUUACUGCAAUUAGGGUUUCACGCGUAGUAGAAAUCUUGACUAUUUCUACAGCCAUGUUACAACUAAUUAAGCAUUUAACUGUUGGAGUUUUAUUAUUAUUAUUAUUAUUAUUAUUAUUAUUAUUAUUAUUAUUAUUAUUAUUUUUAUUUUUUUUUUUUUUUUGGGAAAUCUGCUGUAAUUUCUUUGGUACAUAGUAAGCAUCGUUUGUAUAUGUGAAUCAUUCGUCAAAAGAAAAAAAAAAAAAAAUGUAAAAAUGCGUAUACAUCUGACAUUUGGUCUAAUGUCCAGUCCAAUCUAAUACUAAAUUUAUAAAUAGGUAUGUAAAAUAUGUAUCUGAAAUGUAUAAAAUAUGAUUUUAUGUUUUGAAAGUUUUUAUAAAUUCUAAAAAGUAUAAUAAUUAAUUAAAGUAAAAAUCUCUAUCCUUCCAGACUUGUGUAUUCUGGUCGAUGAAAACCUUAGACAUUCAUCAACUUCGGCAAAACUCAUAUUUCUUGUUUCUAAUUAGUAUUAACCACAGGUACAUGAUAGAUUAGUUCCAAACACAAAAGCGUCAAGUUAACAACUUUGUAGUAAAUUUAAAAAAUUAUUCACCAAAUUUAUUGUUAGUCAAUAAUUAAUAAAGUUCUUGCAUAUAAACUAUUUGUAUUCCACAAGAAAAAUAGACUAACAUAUACUCCUCUUCUUUAAUUUCGUGUUGCAUGCUCUUUCGAGAAUAAUUUUACAUUUCUUUCAGGAGUUUAUACAAGUUUAUUUAUCUUCUGUUUGGUAGAAAUUUUUUGAAAAUAAAUUUGUAAAAAUUGAAUUUAUUUUUUAUUUUUUGGAGGAUUUAUAACAUACACAGCCCUUAAGUGUCUUGCGCAGACAGAAAACCUAGCUCAAGCCACGUCACAAGUACGAGCUGGAUGCAUAGUAAUUGGUCUCCUGCUUCAAGCUUAGUCAGAGUACUUUUCUCUUGGAAGUAUGGAAUAAAACAAAAGUGAAAUUUCUUUGUUAUCUUCUCUCAGUUCUGGACUUCCUAUGGAGGUUAUGAGAAACUUAUAAAUUAUAAUAGUUUGAUUAUAGUAAUGGCAAGUUCAACAAGGUUUUGGUCCCAACUUCCAAGAGGUUGGAAAGAGCAAGGUCUAAACAAGUGCUACAUAUACUUUCACAAAGAGAUAGACAACCCUUCUCUCUCCCUUUUUUGCAGGAAACUCAUCUCUGAAUUAGCUACGCCAUGUCUAGCAAAUAUAACAAUCCCCAGCCCCCCAAUCGGACAACAUUAGUAAUCUAAGUCUCCAUCAAGGUCCAACUCUGUCUCUUUGUGCCAGUGCCACCGCCUUAUGUGAGCACAAUUUCCUGCGGACUUUCUCAGCCAUCAGAGAGAGAGAGUGGGGCUGGAGCAUGCAAACCCUCCCAUUUCUUCCAUUUCGUGCACUCUUAUUUGCAGAAAGUUGGCAUUCUCUGAACUCUCUCCCUCAGUGGCCCUUUCAUGACUUUAGGUUGAAGGAGAAGCCUUUGAGAUGUGGGGGUUCAGAAAUUGCCAGCCUUCUUACCAGUUUCAACAGUUCAUUAAUAAGCCGCGUGCAGAUAUAUAUACAAAAUUAGUAAGUAUUAAUUUGUUUUAGAAACUUUUAAACUCUAACUUACAUGCUCUAACUCAAUGAUAGAAUCCGAAAAAUAGCCUUUUGUUUUUCUUUGAAAAGUUAUAAUUCAAAAUAUUGUUCUCUGGAUUUCUUCAUCUCUUUUUUCACUUCUAAAGAAUUGGAUUUUGUUAUGUUUUGUACAAAAUAAGAACCCUUGCUACCUGGCAUGACCUCACUACCAAUGCCAGAUGUAAUAUGCUUAAUUUAAAUUUUGUCCAAUUCCUUCCACACAAACAAUAAAACAGUAAUAAUACAACCCUCUUUAUUUGCUACUGUGCAAGUUGAACAAUGUUUUGGUUUAUGGAACUUCGAAGGAUAUUUAGUGUCAACGGGCUUCAUGUUUUUUCAUCCUUUUUCUCAUAUCGGUUGACAAGAGGAUGAUUUGAACCAUCAGAAUCCCUUUUCUAUUCGGAGAAGUUCUUUUCAACGUGCAUUACUCUUUUAUGCCAAUAUAGCAUCUACUUG